CCUACGGGUGGCAGCAGUGAGGAAUAUUGGUCAAUGGGCGCGAGCCUGAACCAGCCAAGUAGCGUGAAGGAAGAAGGCCCUCGGGUUGUAAACCUCUUUUAUUCGGGACGAAACAAAUGACGGUACCGAAUGAAUAAGCCACGGCCAACUACGUGCCAUCAGCCGCGGUAAUACGUAGGUGGCCAGCGUUAUGCGGUUUUACUGGGUGUAAAGGGCGUGUAGGCGGGGGAGGAAGGCAGACGUGAAAUUCCAGGGCUCAACCCUGGGACUGCGUUUGAAACUGUUCUUCUUGAGUGAUGGAGAGGCAGGCGGAAUGCCGUGUGUAGCGGUGAAAUGCGUAGAUAUACGGAAGAACACCAGUGGCGAAGGCGGCCUGCUGGACAUUAACUGACGCUGAGGCGCGAAAGCGUGGGGAGCAAACAGGAUUAGAUACCCUUGUAGUC
rnacentral:rRNA from 1 species